rnacentral:rRNA from 1 species
GACGAACGCUGGCGGCGUGCUUAACACAUGCAAGUCGAACGGAAAGGCCCUGCUUUUGUGGGGUGCUCGAGUGGCGAACGGGUGAGUAACACGUGAGUAACCUGCCCUUGACUUUGGGAUAACUUCAGGAAACUGGGGCUAAUACCGGAUAGGAGCUCCUGCUGCAUGGUGGGGGUUGGAAAGUUUCGGCGGUUGGGGAUGGACUCGCGGCUUAUCAGCUUGUUGGUGGGGUAGUGGCUUACCAAGGCUUUGACGGGUAGCCGGCCUGAGAGGGUGACCGGGCAACAUGGGGACGGAGUAACGCCCCGGACCCCGAGGGGGGGAAGCGGGGGGGAUUAUGGCAAAGGGGGCGGAGGCCGGAGGCAGCAGCCCCGGGGGGGGGAUGCGGGCCUUCGGUUUGAAAACCGCUUUCGCCUGUGACGAGGGGGGGGGGAGGGAAAGGGGUAAAGAAGCACCGGCAAACUACGUC